AACGCACAUUGCGCCCUCUGGUAUUCCGGGGGGCACGCCUGUUCGAGCGUCAUUGAAAUCCAUCAAGCCCUGCUUGGUAUUGGGUGGCCCCCGGAAGGGAGCCCUCGAAAACCAGCGGCGUGGUCGCCCGGAGAAGAACGCACUGAAAACUUCGUUCUUACCUCCCGGGCGUCCGCAGCCACGAGCGCAGCCCCCGGGCUGCAACUCUUGAAAUUGACCUCGGAUCAGGCGAGAUUACCCGCUGAACUUAA
rnacentral:misc_RNA from 1 species